GUCCCUUACUUUCUGUAUAAUCGCUUUACCGUUCUCGUAGUUUGUCGUAGCAAAGCAAAGGCUUCUCUUUUUUCAUUGGUAAAAGAAAUAGAGAGAGAGAGAGAGAGAGAGAGAGAGAAGAGAGAGAGAGCAACGUUUCGUCGAAGUAAUGCUCUCGUAGUCAGACUCUGCUUCAAGAUUUUGGUUCUCUAUGCAAAGAUAUAUAACCAGGAUUUGAAGGCUCGUCAUAUACCAGCUGCUAAAAAUGCGAGACAAUAUGAAAUUUCUGCGUGAUAUGCAUCGUAAUCAAGAACCAAGGUGAAUUAGAGGGAGAAAGAGAAGAAACAGAAAAACACAUGUCACGGCCAUUAUGAGCCGGAGAAUAUUCCAGCUGUGACUGACUAGUCCAGAUUCAUCGCCAUUAUCCUCAUAUAUAUAUGUUCCAAGCAGGUUUCUUAUCAAGCAAGCGAACUUUGACCAGAGAGAGACAUUGAAAUUGACACAUACAAAAUUGGACACUUGAAUAUUGGUUCAUGUACAAAGAUUUGUCCAACCUUUUUCUCUGAACAAAUAAAUAUUCUAUAUAGCAUUUUUACUUAAAAUGUUUUAAAAU